AGAGUUUGAUCCUGGCUCAGGACGAACGCUGGCGGCGUGCUUAACACAUGCAAGUCGAGCGGAGUAAAGAGGAGCUUGCUUUUCUUUACUUAGCGGCGGACGGGUGAGUAACACGUGGGCAACCUACCCUAUGGAGGGGAAUAACAGGGAGAAAUCUUUGCUAAUACCGCAUAGAUCCAAAGUUUUGCAUAAAGCUUUGGAGAAAGGAGAAAUCCGCCAUAGGAUGGGCCCGCGUCCCAUUAGCUAGUUGGUGAGAUAACAGCCCACCAAGGCGACGAUGGGUAGCCGACCUGAGAGGGUGAACGGCCACAUUGGAACUGAGACACGGUCCAGACUCCUACGGGAGGCAGCAGUGGGGAAUAUUGCACAAUGGGGGGAACCCUGAUGCAGCAACGCCGCGUGAGCGAUGAAGGUCUUCGGAUUGUAAAGCUCUGUCUUCGCUGACGAUAAUGACGGUAAGCGAGGAGGAAGCCACGGCUAACUACGUGCCAGCAGCCGCGGUAAUACGUAGGUGGCGAGCGUUGUCCGGAAUUACUGGGCGUAAAGGGUGCGUAGGCGGUUUUUUAAGUGGGAUGUGAAAUCCUGAGGCUUAACUUCAGAAUUGCAUUCCAAACUGGAAGGCUAGAGUACAGGAGAGGAAAGCGGAAUUCCCAGUGUAGCGGUGAAAUGCGUAGAGAUUGGGAGGAACACCAGUGGCGAAGGCGGCUUUCUGGACUGUAACUGACGCUGAGGCACGAAAGCGUGGGGAGCAAACAGGAUUAGAUACCCUGGUAGUCCACGCCGUAAAC
rnacentral:rRNA from 1 species